UCCGGCGUGGCGCAAUUGGCUAGCGCGUCUGACUGUUAAUCAGGAGGUUGGAAGUUCGAGCCUUCCCGGCGGAG
rnacentral:tRNA from 1 species